CACAAGCUCACAGUCGUGUACACACACACGCACACACACGCACACACACACGCACGCACCAGUGCUCGCACACCGUGGGAAGAGAGCAGCGCACUAAGAAGUCUGGUCGCCCUCUCGGGACACCAAAGCGUUAGCUCUGUGGACAAGGAAGCACCGAGAUAGUCCGCAUCAGCGUGGAGAGGACACCUCAGCUGGGGACAGAUCGGAGACGCCUGCUCUAUCGGAUAGAGCUGGUGGUUGAGCGGUGUCUCCAGCUGUCAUCCACUCUUGGCCCCUGGGGUUUACACCUUCCUAAACCCAGAAACGUGGUUAAGAAUCCGACUGCCGAUGCAGGGGACAUGGGUUCAAGCCCUGGUCCAGGAAGAUCCCACAUGCCGUGGAGCAACUAAGCCUGCGCGUCGCAACUACUGAGCCUGCGCUCUAGAGCCCACGAGCCACAACUACUGAAGCCCGCAUGCCUAGAGCCCAUGCUCCACAACAAGAGAAGCCACUGCAAUGAGAAGCCCACGCACCACAAUGAAGAGUCACCCCCGCUCGCCGCAACUAGAGAAAGCCUGUGUACAGCAACGAAGACCCAACACAGCCAAAAAUAAAUUUUAAAAAACAAUAAAAAUCUCUCUUGUAUCUGAUUUAAACAAUUUCUGUUCUCCUCUCUUUAUUUUCUUAAAUUGCCCAAUCUAAUCACCCACUUAAUGUUUUCUUUAAUGGAACCCACAUUCCUUU